rnacentral:rRNA from 1 species
UACGGAGGGGGCUAGCGUUGUUCGGAAUUACUGGGCGUAAAGCGCACGUAGGCGGCUUUGCAAGUUAGAGGUGAAAGCCCGGAGCUUAACUCCGGAAUUGUCUUUAAAACUGCAUCGCUAGAAUUGUGGAGAGGUGAGUGGAAUUCCGAGUGUAGAGGUGAAAUUCGUAGAUAUUCGGAAGAACACCAGUGGCGAAGGCGACUCACUGGACACAUAUUGACGCUGAGGUGCGAAAGCGUGGGGAGCAAACAGG